AUGGGUGUUGGGUCCAACAAAUCGCAUUGGUCUCAAACCAAUGACAUCCAUUUCGAAGACCAUGAGUUUGAGGUGGACGAGGAAGGUGAGGGCAUUGUCGACGCGCCGAAAGGAAGAGCGGGCAAUUACACCACCAAAGAUAACAUCCUACUAUGUAAUACUUGGUUGCAAGUGUCGAGGGACCCAUCCGUUGGAGGUGAUCAAAGUAGAGAUGCUUAUUGGGGGCGGAUGAAAGAACACUUUGAUGUUCACAACUUGAGUGGAAUUGACCGCUCCGAGAGAUCACUUCGGUCCCGAUGGUCGACAAUCAACUCGGAUUGUCAAAGGUGGGUGGCUUGUCAAAAGGCGGUUGACAAGUUGAACCCAAGUGGCACAAAUGAGGACGAUAGAAUAAGUGGCAUUUCAUACAAGUUCAUCAUACAAGUCCAUCAUAAUCAUACUUGUUGUUGGUGCUAA
rnacentral:rRNA from 1 species